UACGUAGGGUGCGAGCGUUAAUCGGAAUUACUGGGCGUAAAGCGUGCGCAGGCGGGUUUGUAAGGCAGAUGGGAAAUCCCCGGGCUUAACCUGGGAAUGGCAUUUGGGACUGCAAAGCUUGAGUGCGGCAGAGGGGACUGGAAUUCCUGGUGUAGCAGUGAAAUGCGUAGAGAUCAGGAGGAAUACCGAUGGCGAAGGCAGGUCCCUGGGCUGACACUGACGCUCAUGCACGAAAGCGUGGGGAGCAAACAGG
rnacentral:rRNA from 1 species